rnacentral:rRNA from 1 species
UGGGGAAUCUUGCGCAAUGGCCGCAAGGCUGACGCAGCGACGCCGCGUGGAGGAUGACGCCCUUCGGGGUGUAAACUCCUGUUGCCCGGGACGAACACACGGUUUCGACCGUGCUGACGGUACCGGGUGAGGAAGCACCGGCUAACUCCGUGCCAGCAGCCGCGGUAAUACGGAGGGUGCGAGCGUUGUCCGGAAUCACUGGGCGUAAAGGGCGCGUAGGCGGUGGGGUAAGCGUGUGGUGAAAGUCCGGGGCUCAACCCCGGAUCGGCCGUGCGAACUGCUUCACUUGAGCACUGUAGAGGCAGGUGGAAUUCCGGGUGUAGCGGUGGAAUGCGUAGAGAUCCGGAAGAACACCGGUGGCGAAGGCGGCCUGCUGGGCAGUGGCUGACGCUGAGGCGCGACAGCGUGGGGAGCAAACAGG